UGAAUACGAGACGCUAAGGCGUCGAAGUAGUGUAUAUCAGACUUCCAAGAAAAGCUUGCACUGUCAUAGAUAAAAAAUGCCUGUACCAUAACCGACACAGGUGGGUAGGUAGAGUAUACUAAGGGGCGCGAGAUAACUCUCUCUAAGGAACUCGGCAAAAUAACUCCGUAACUUCGGGAGAAGGAGUGCCUUAUUUAUAAGGUUGCAAUAACAAGAUCCAAGCAACUGUUUAUCAAAAACACAGGUCUCCGCUAAGUCGUAAGACGAUGUAUGGGGGCUGACGCCUGCCCAGUGCCAGAAGGUUAAAGAAGUUGGUUAGCAAUUGCGAAGCUGAUAACUGAAGCCCUGGUGAACGGCGGCCGUAACUAUAACGGUCCUAAGGUAGCGAAAUUCCUUGUCGGGUAAGUUCCGACCCGCACGAAAGGCGUAAUGAUUUGGAUACUGUCUCGGAGAGGGGCUCGGUGAAAUAGACUUGUCUGUGAAGAUGCGGACUACCUGCACCAGGACAGAAAGACCCUAUGAAGCUUUACUGUAACUUGAAAUUGAAAUUGGACUUUAUUCGCGCAGCAUAGGUGGGAGGCGUUGAUUAUAAUCUUGCGGGAUUAUUGGAGCCAUCAGUGAGAUACCACUCUUGUAAUGUUAGAUUUCUAACUUUGAAUCAUUAUCUGGUCAAAGAACAGUUUCAGGCGGGCAGUUUGACUGGGGCGGUCGCCUCCUAAAUGGUAACGGAGGCGUACAAAGGUUUCCUCUGAACGGUUAGAAAUCGUAUCUAGAGUGUAAAGGCAUAAGGAAGCUUGACUGUGAGACCUACAAGUCGAGCAGGGACGAAAGUCGGUCUUAGUGAUCUGACGGUACUGAGUGGAAAGGCCGUCACUCAACGGAUAAAAGUUACUCUAAGGAUAACAGGCUGAUCUCCCCCAAGGGUUCACAUCGACGGGGAGGUUUGGCACCUCGAUGUCGGCUCAUCGCAUCCUGGGGCGGUAGUACGUCCCAAGGGUUGGGCUGUUCGCCCAUGAAAGCGGUACGCGAGCUGGGUUCAGAACGUCGUGAGACAGUUCGGUCCAUAUCCGGUGUAGGCGUUAGAAUAUUGAGAGGAGCCUUCUUUAGUACGAGAGGACCGAGAAGGACAUACCUCUGGUGUACCAGUUAUCGUGCCAACGGUAAACGCUGGGUAGCUAUGUAUGGAGUGGAUAACCGCUGAAAGCAUCUAAGUGGGAAGCCCACCUCAAGAUAAGUA
rnacentral:rRNA from 1 species